rnacentral:rRNA from 1 species
ACGCUAGCUACAGGCUUAACACAUGCAAGUCGAGGGGCAGCAUGGUCUUAGCUUGCUAAGGCCGAUGGCGACCGGCGCACGGGUGAGUAACACGUAUCCAACCUGCCGUCUACUCUUGGACAGCCUUCUGAAAGGAAGAUUAAUACAAGAUGGCAUCAUGAGUCCGCAUGUUCACAUGAUUAAAGGUAUUCCGGUAGACGAUGGGGAUGCGUUCCAUUAGAUAGUAGGCGGGGUAACGGCCCACCUAGUCUUCGAUGGAUAGGGGUUCUGAGAGGAAGGUCCCCCACAUUGGAACUGAGACACGGUCCAAACUCCUACGGGAGGCAGCAGUGAGGAAUAUUGGUCAAUGGGCGAGAGCCUGAACCAGCCAAGUAGCGUGAAGGAUGACUGCCCUAUGGGUUGUAAACUUCUUUUAUAAAGGAAUAAAGUCGGGUAUGGAUACCCGUUUGCAUGUACUUUAUGAAUAAGGAUCGGCUAACUCCGUGCCAGCAGCCGCGGUAAUACGGAGGAUCCGAGCGUUAUCCGGAUUUAUUGGGUUUAAAGGGAGCGUAGAUGGAUGUUUAAGUCAGUUGUGAAAGUUUGCGGCUCAACCGUAAAAUUGCAGUUGAUACUGGAUAUCUUGAGUGCAGUUGAGGCAGGCGGAAUUCGUGGUGUAGCGGUGAAAUGCUUAGAUAUCACGAAGAACUCCGAUUGCGAAGGCAGCCUGCUAAGCUGCAACUGACAUUGAGGCUCGAAAGUGUGGGUAUCAAACAGGAUUAGAUACCCUGGUAGUCCACACGGUAAACGAUGAAUACUCGCUGUUUGCGAUAUACUGCAAGCGGCCAAGCGAAAGCGUUAAGUAUUCCACCUGGGGAGUACGCCGGCAACGGUGAAACUCAAAGGAAUUGACGGGGGCCCGCACAAGCGGAGGAACAUGUGGUUUAAUUCGAUGAUACGCGAGGAACCUUACCCGGGCUUAAAUUGCAGAUGAAUUACGGUGAAAGCCGUAAGCCGCAAGGCAUCUGUGAAGGUGCUGCAUGGUUGUCGUCAGCUCGUGCCGUGAGGUGUCGGCUUAAGUGCCAUAACGAGCGCAACCCUUGUUGUCAGUUACUAACAGGUUCCGCUGAGGACUCUGACAAGACUGCCAUCGUAAGAUGUGAGGAAGGUGGGGAUGACGUCAAAUCAGCACGGCCCUUACGUCCGGGGCUACACACGUGUUACAAUGGGGGGUACAGAGGGCCGCUACCACGCGAGUGGAUGCCAAUCCCCAAAACCUCUCUCAGUUCGGACUGGAGUCUGCAACCCGACUCCACGAAGCUGGAUUCGCUAGUAAUCGCGCAUCAGCCACGGCGCGGUGAAUACGUUCCCGGGCCUUGUACACACCGCCCGUCAAGCCAUGGGAGCCGGGGGUACAAGAAGUGCGUAACCGCGAGGAGCGCCCUAGGGUAAAACUGGUAAGGGGGGC